rnacentral:rRNA from 2 species
GCUUUGGGGGGGCCAUAACAUGCAGUCGAGCGGAUGAUUGGAGCUUGCUCCAUGAUUCAGCGGCGGACGGGUGAGUAAUGCCUAGGAAUCUGCCUGGUAGUGGGGGACAACGUUUCUAAAGGAACGCUAAUACCGCAUACGUCCUACGGGAGAAAGUGGGGGAUCUUCGGACCUUGCGCUAUCAGAUGACCCUAGGUCGGAUUACCUAGUUGGUGAGGUAAAGGCUCACCAAGGCGACGAUCCGUAGCUGGUCUGAGAGGAUGAUCAGUCACACUGGAACUGAGACACGGUCCAGACUCCUACGGGAGGCACCAGUGGGGAAUAUUGGACAAUGGGCGAAAGCCUGAUCCAACCAUGCCGCGUGUGUGAACAAGGUCUUCGGAUUGUAAAGCACUUUAAGUUGGGAGGAAGGGCAGUAAGUUAAUACCUUGCUGUUUUGACGUUACCGACUGAAUAAGCACCGGCUAACUUCGUGCCAGCAGCCGCGGUAAUACGAAGGGUGCAAGCGUUAAUCGGAAUUACUGGGCGUAAAGCGCGCGUAUGUGGUUCGUUAAGUUGGAUGUGAAAGCCCCAGGCUCAACCUGGGAACUGCAUCCAAAACUGGCGAGCUAGAGUAUGGCACAUGGUGGUGGAAUUUCCUGUGUAGCGGUGAAAUGCGUAGAUAUAGGAAGGAACACCAGUGGCGAACGCGACCACCUGGGCUAAUACUGACACUGAUGUGCGAAAGCGUGGGGAGCAAACAGGAUUAGAUACCCUGGUAGUCCACGCCGUAAACGAUGUCGACUAGCCGUUGGGAUCCUUGAUAUCUUAGUGGCGCACCUAACGCAUUAAGUCUACCGCCUGGGGAGUACGGCCGCAAGGUUAAAACUCAAAUGAAUUGACUGGGAGCCCGCACAAGCGGAUCGCAGCAUGUGGUUUAAUUCUGAUGCAUCGCGUAGAACCUUACCAGGCAUCGACAUGCAGACACGUUUCCAGAGGUGGAUUGUGACAUCGAGACUCUGACUCAGUGCUGCAUGCUGUCGGUCAGCUCGGGUCUCGACAUGCUCGGUCAAGUACACUGUACGGAUCAGCUACCUAGUCAUUAGUAACAGUCACGUAGUGGCGGCACCUUAAGUGAACUGUCGGAUGUACAAAUCGGGAGGUAACGUAGCGAUGGACGUCUAGGUCA